UGUGUAUUUGGAUUUAUUUAUAAAACAUUCCGUGUAAAAACAUUGAGCAGCAUUUAGUAUUAUUAAGACGAGCAAAUCAUUAUUUUAUUUCUCCCAACUGUAGACCCAAAGUAUGUGGUAGUUACAUCAUGAAUGAACAACUAAAAACUGCGUCAGUUGCAGUGACGUCACGGGAUUCUCGGAAUCGAAUGAUCUGGGGACCGAUGAAGUAAAAAUGAAAGUAAGUCCAAAACAACAGUUAGGAGGGAAACUGCACCACGUUGGACCUUUCAAAAAGUAUUUUAAAACCUCAUGCCUAUAGGCUUUUCAUUUACUUUACGUUUGUAUUGUUUUUUACGUGUUGUAUUGAUUUUUACGUCUUACAUGCUUGUCACGUUUGAAAUACAUGUAUAUUUUUUUUCUUCGGAGAAUCAAUCAGAUCGCUUGUUUAUCGCGUAUAGGCCUACCUCUAGUGCACUUAAAAAGAAGCUAUUUUCAGAAAUAGAAGGUGUUUCUCUUGGAAGUGCAUGGACAAGACAGGAACCAUACUGAAAAGUCAUGAUGUAAUGACGUGAUGUCAGAGGACUGAGUACAGAACUUUUGAGGACAGAACCUCUGAAAUGAGUCUCCCUGAGGAACACAGGGAAAGAUCAGGAUCACCUGUGUCUGUGAAGAGUGACCAAUCCCAAGAAGAAAGACCAGACUUCAGUGAAAAAACACCAUCAGAUACUGAAAGGCAA